UCCAAUAUGGCUUCCAAUGGAUGAAGUGUCGAGCUGUCAAUAAUUCAGUUUCCAAAUUUUGUUUUAAUGGCUGUCAUGGACAUUAAAAGAAAAUUCCAAAACUUCCUCAGAAAACAGGAAUCAGUGCAAUCUCCAGUAGAAGAUGAUAUCAACCAUGACUUGUUUACAGGAGAGCCUGCUAUCACAAAGUACAAGCACAGUCACAUGGUUAACCCCCACGAGGAGCAGGAGGUGCUGGAAAACAUAGAGGAAGUGUACUACAAUGAUGAAGAUGUUGACACCAGCAGCUUCGAACUCCAGAAAGUACCGGAGGAUCCUGACCUGGACCAGAUUGACCGGGACAGACAAAAACUGAGGAAACAGCUACAAGUGGUUUCCAAGAAAGUGUCCGACGUGGUGUUACAGAAUCACCCUGCCUAUGCGGCUGAGUUACAGAGAGUGAUGGAGCUACAGAAAACACUACAGCUUGCCAGCAUCAUCUGUGCUAACGGACGCAGACAACUAUCUGGAGCAAGGAAAAGCUUUACCACUGCCAGCCUUAAGAUGUUGGCUAACUACAGAAAACGACAGCAGCUGAUUGGUCUACUUAAGUCCCUAAGGACAAUUAAAACACUACAGCGUACAGAUCUGAGGCUGAGGGAAAUGAUGGAGGAGGAAGACUACUGCAGUGCUAUACAGCUGUGUCUGGAAUGUCAGAAGGCGGCUAGCACAUUCAAACACUUUACUUGUAUAAGUGAGCUGAGUUCAAAACUACAGGACACGCUGGAGAUGAUUGAGGAACAGCUGGAUGUUGCUUUGUCCAAGACAUGUAGUCACUUUGACAUUGUCCACUAUGAGAAAGUACAGAUAGCUUAUAGACUUCUGGACAAAACUCAGACUGCCAUGGAUCAGUUACACAUGCACUUCACAAGUGCCAUACAUAGUACAGCCUUCCAGAUUGUUCUGGGCUACGUGGAGCUGUGCGCUGGAACAGGAAACUCAAACUUCCAGAAACGACCCUACGUAGAUCUCUGUAAGAAUAUAACACAGGAAAGUUUCAAACCAUGUUUGGUAGAUCUGUGCAAAGCAUUAUGGGAAGUGAUGAAGAGUUACCACAAAACCAUCCAGUGGCAUGAGUCUCACGACGAAGAGUUCAUCCGGGAGUCAGGUGUGGAUGUGGACAUCACAUUGAAGAUGAAGUACAUACGUCAGAAGCUUGACCAUGGCCUGACUCGGAUAUGGCACGACGUCCAGCAAAAGGUCAAGAUUUAUAUCCUGGGUACAGACAUGGCCAACUUCAAACUAGAGGACUUCAUACGAGUGCUAGACCUUGUCAACAGGUUGAUUGAGAUAGGGGAGGAAUUUUGCGGGAGCAAGUCAGAAGGUCUACAAGACUCCCUCAAACAACAGAGUCUCAAUUAUUUCAAAAACCACCACAGGUACCGUAUGGAAGAACUAGGAAUGUUCCUGGAGAACGAAGGCUGGGAGAUCUGCCCUGUCAAGUCUAACUUUACUCUGCUACAGUUGUUGGAAUUCAGGUUCAUGCAGAGCUGGACUCGUUCUCCGGCCACCAACUCCCUAGUGCAUUCCCAACAGGAAGUAGAGGGGGAGGAAUCAUUGCCAAACGGACACAAUCGAGAAGGGGGGCGCUACUUUGACCAGUACAAGGAUGAAGGUAGUCCAUUUGAUGUCCAACCUGAUGAAGAAGAAAACGAAGAUGUGUUUUCUGGAAGUUGGGAUGAUGAAGAUGGAGAAGGUAGAGACACAGACUCAGACGAGCCCGAUGAACUCAAACAGGAUUAUAUUGAUGAACUCACAGGAGAGGCACAAUCUAAUAGGCAAUACAGAAGAAGAACAUCAAGAAACAAAAAUCAAAGACACAUUCCAAUUGUGACCAAUACAACCCUCAAUGUUCUGAGGGUGAUAGGUAAAUAUAUGCAGAUGAUGACCGUCCUGAAACCGAUAGCUUUUGACGUGAUCAACAGUAUGUCACAGCUAUUUGAAUAUUACCUGUAUACAGUUCAUAUAUUCUUUGGAGCAGAUACGUGGGUGAUGAAUGAGCGAUCCCUCAAUAAUCGAAUGCACAUGACACUUCAGAGGAUCAGGAACAACCUGAUAGCAGAGGCACCUAUACCUGGGGCUCCCCCCACUGACCAAGAGAAUGGCAGGGACAAAUUCCCGCAGCCACACCUCUCCCCCAUCGUCGACCUCAGUGGGAGUGGUCGUCUGUUUGGUCUGGCUGAGAGAGUAGUUGCUGCUGAGUCUCUAGUUUUCCUGGCCAGUCAGAUGGAGCUGCUGUAUCCUCACCUAGAAGCUAUGAUACCAGGCAACAAAAAAGUCUUCCUCCAACAGUUUUUCUCACAGACAGUUAAAAUGGCUGCUGAGUUACGGAAGCCAGUGUACUGGACUGUGUCAGUACAGGCAGUGGACUAUGACAAUAUCCUAUACCACAUGUCAGGAGUCAAGUGGGAUGUUAAGGACAUAAUGUCACAACACAACUCCUACGUCGAUGUCAUGCUCAAGAGUUUGGAGCAGUUGUCGGUAAGACUAGUGGAUAUUAACAGAAGAGUUCCAAUACCAAAGGUUGUAUAUGACCUCGUGUGGGAACACUGUGUACGCCUUGCAAACCGGACGAUUGUCGAAGGGUAUGCUGGUGCUAAAAAGUGCAGUAACGAGGGGAGAGCUUUGAUGCAGCUGGAUUUCCAACAGUUUCUGUCCAAGCUUGAGACUAUCGUAGAUCUAAGACCUAUCCCAGAGAGAGAUUAUGUGGAGGCCUACAUCAAAGCUUAUUACCUACCAGAGAGUCAGAUGGAAUCCUGGAUACUAGAGCACAAAGAGUACUCCAACAAGCAGUUGCUGUCCCUCAUCAACACAGUCGACCAUAUCAACAAAAAAGCACGACAGAGGCUUAUCGCCAUAGUAGAGGAAAUGGAUCGGCACCGCAGAUAACGCCACGCUUCAAUGAAUGUGUCACUCAUUGUAGAAAGUUUAUUGUGCUCCGCACAUUCCCAUUACGAGGGCUAAUUUGGUUGUUACAUUACGUCAUAUUCACAGAUUUCAAUUGCAAUGAUCCAUCAAAACUCAACCAAUUCACAAUCAUUCUCAUUCUUUUGUACUUCCUUUCCUGUUUUAAAUAAUAAUACAGUGGAUUCUAAGUAAACCAGACUCUGACCAAACCGGAUCUAAAUCCAUCCAAACUUUUUUUGUCCCUGGAAAACUCUUCUUUAACGAUAGUAAUUAAUCUUCUGGCUAAUUCAGACUCUGUCUAUUCUGCUAACUGGCCUAUGCCUUCUAAACACUAGCACAGAGGUUAAAUCAACUCUCUAUAAAUCGGCCUUUUUUCCGUCCCAUGCCUUCUAAACACUAGCACAGGGGUUAAAUCAACUCUCUAUAAACCGGCCUUUUUUCCCCGUCCUAUGCCUUCUAAACACUAGCACAGAGGUUAAAUCAACUCUCUAUAAACCGGCCUUUUUUCCCGUCCCAUGCCUUCUAAACACUAGCACAGAAGUUAAAUCAACUCCCUAUAAACCAGCCUUGUUAUACACUAGUAAAUCAACUCUCUGUAAACCAGUCUUAUUUCUCCGUUCCAUGCCUUCAAUAUACUAGUAAAUCUACUCUCAGUAAACCGGUCUUGGGCAGGUUUUUACUGUGCAGUAAGUGGAUGAGUCAUUGUCACUUUACCACAGUACAUUGUAGAUAAAUUAGGUUAGCACCUGAAUGCUUCUUACUUGCAAAUUGCAAAUAUUUCGAUUUUUCCAUAUUUUAAAGAUUUAAAGUAGCUCUUUAGGAAGCAUCCAAAUUACAUCCAGUCUUCUAAGUUUUCACCAACAUGUUAUACAAUGUUUUCCAUCUUCCACAAAUUUGAAUUGUCAGACAAGUUGUUAGAAAUGAAGAAAUUAACAGUAGAUUUGUAGAUACAUGUCUGUCCAUAUUAUCGUGUGAUGGCUGAAACUACAGGUCCGUCUGCCUGUCUGUACAUACAUGUCUGUCCAUAUUGUCUUGUAAUGGCUGAAACUACAGGUCUGUCUGCCUGUCUGUAACUGUAAUGGCUGUAGAUAUAUGUCUGUCCAUAUUAUCAUGUGAUGGCUGAAACUACAGGUCUGUCUGCCUGUCUGUAACUGUAAUGGCUGUAGAUACGUCUGUCCAUAUUAUCUUGUGAUGGCUGAAACUACAGAUCUAUCUGUCUGCCUGUCUGUAACUGUAAUGGCUGUAGAUAUGUGUCUGUCCAUAUUAUCUUGUGAUGGCUGAAACAACAGGUCUGUCUGCCUGUCUAACUGUAAUGGCUGUAGAUAUAUGUCUGUCCAUAUUAUCAUGUGAUGGCUGAAACUACAAGUCUGUCUGUUGUAACUGUAAUGGCUGUAGAUACGUGUCUGUCCAAAUUAUCUUGUGAUGGCUGAAACUACAGGUCUGUCUGCCUGUCUGUAAUGGCUGUAAAAACUACAGGUCUGUCUGUAACUGUUAAAGCUGUAGAUACAUGUCUGUCCAUUUUUCUUGUGAUGGCUAAAACUACGGGUCUGUCUGCCUGUCUGUAACUGUAAUGGCUGUACAUACAUGUCGGUCUAUAUUAUCCUGUGAUGGCUGAAACUACAGGUCUGUCUGCUUCACUGUAACUGUAAAAGCUGUCUAUAUUAACCUGUGAUGGCUGAAAAUACAGGGCUGUCUGUCAAGUGUUACAUCGGAAAUUGUAUAUAAAUGGUACAUAUUUUACUUCUAAAGACAUCUGUGAUAUAAUCAAAUGAAAUCUUCAAUUAUGUACUACCAGCCAGGUACAUCAUACAGAAACCUACAACGUAAUCAAUUGUUCUAGGCUCUAUUCUUAGUCUUUGUUGUGAAGUUGGGGUAGAUUUUUAUCACCGGUAAGAAAUGACCAAAUGUUGUUUUUAUGGAAAUAUUGUCUGUUAUGUGCACUAUACCCGCAAAUUUACGGUACAUGUGUAAGAUAUAGUGAAACAAUAAUCA
rnacentral:misc_RNA from 1 species